GAGGGUAUAGCUCCGUGGUAGAGCACAUGCCUAGCAUGCCUGAGGUUCUGGGUUCACUCCUCAGUACUGCCA
rfam:Camelus ferus unplaced genomic scaffold scaffold634, whole genome shotgun sequence.